rnacentral:misc_RNA from 1 species
UUUCCGUAGGUGAACCUGCGGAAGGAUCAUUACCGUAUAACCGACUUGCGAGCGCUGUCGCUAAACCGUUAGGUCAUCCACCCCCUGGUGCCCCCACACACAUCCCUCUCGUCACUAUCUGCACCACCGCCUGGGUCCCCCUUCUGCGUGUUCGGCUGGGCGCUGGCGUUUUCACACAAACUUUGUAUGAAGUGUAGAAUGUUUUUUUUGUUUUAGCGAUCACGCUUUCAAUACAACUUUCAACAACGGAUCUCUUGGCUCUG